GCAAGUCGAGCGCUACCUUCGGGUGGAGCGGCGGACGGGUUAGUAACGCGUGGGAAUAUGCCCUUCUCUAUGGAAUAGCCAUUGGAAACGAUGAGUAAUACCAUAUACGCCCUUCGGGGGAAAGAUUUAUUGGAGAAGGAUUAGCCCGCGUUAGAUUAGUUAGUUGGUGGGGUAAUGGCCUACCAAGACGACGAUCUAUAGCUGGUUUGAGAGGAUGAUC
rnacentral:rRNA from 1 species